UACGUAGGGUGCGAGCGUUGUCCGGAAUUAUUGGGCGUAAAGGGCUCGUAGGCGGUUUGUCGCGUCGGGAGUGAAAACCUUGGGCUUAACUCAGGGCUUGCUUUCGAUACGGGCAGACUAGAGGUAUGCAGGGGAGAACGGAAUUCCUGGUGUAGCGGUGAAAUGCGCAGAUAUCAGGAGGAACACCGGUGGCGAAGGCGGUUCUCUGGGCAGUAACUGACGCUGAGGAGCGAAAGCGUGGGGAGCGAACAGG
rnacentral:rRNA from 1 species